rnacentral:tRNA from 1 species
GGAGGUAUAGCUUAGCGGUAGAGUAUGUGCUUAGCAUGCAUGAGGUCCUGGGUUCAAUUUCCAGUACCUCCG